CCCCCCCAACUUUCCCGAGGACCCUGGAAGAUGAGAGGGGUCCGGGACUCCGGUACUCGCGGAGGAAACUGCCUGCAUCUCACAGAUAUUUGCGUCGCACCAGGCCUGUUUUAUGCUUCAUGCAUCUUUGACAUCUCCAUGAUGGCCGAGGUCUGCUGUGCUCAGAACAAAGCUCCCAGGUAAUUUUGUUGCACAGCUGGGGUUGAGAAUCACCAAUCAAGGAAGAUGGAAACCCACAGUGCCCGAUUUUUCAGUCAGCCUUGGUUUCUAAGUCAGAGGCACUGUUUGGUACCCACAGAAAUUAUUCAGAUGCUCUGGGAGCCUUCUAGGUUUCUAUGCCAACUGUUUGGCAUACACAUUUUUUUUUCCUCCACUGGGCUCACUUGUCCUAGAGUAUUCUAUAUGAAAAAAAAAUAGGGGGUUAUUACUAACAUUAAAGACUUUGACUGCAUAGGGACUUCUGCUUUUCCAGAGGACUCCCCUCUCCCUCCAAUUUACUGUUUGCAGUGCUUCUUUGCUUCCUGGAAUGGAAGAGGUUCAGCAGAGGCACUCAGAGCUAUGUGCAGGGAAGUCACUCCAUAGCCACCCUGAUCCCAGCUCAGAGAAGUCACCCCACAUCUACCCCCGAUAGAUGCUCAGGGGUCUCAUCUUGUCCAUGUCCUGCGUCUAGUUCAGAGAUCUCACUCUGUCCACCCCAUGCUCCUGACCCAACGGUGUCCCUGAAAAACACCGCCUGCGCCACCGACACCAGCACUUUCACCGGAAGAACAUACCUCACCAAGGCUCCCCGUUCCCUAAAGCUCCUGCCAACCUCCAAGAGGAUCGACCCAAAGGCUUUGCUGUUAUCUCCCGUACCAGGAACCUGCCUGGAGCCAAUGCAGCCAGCUUAAGACUGUCUGUCAAAGCAUUCAUCGGAGGAUAUAGCUGUUGUUGCCUGAGGCGAUGGAAGGCAGUUGGAUGGAGAAGCGAUUCAGGGGGCAGGAGGUGCUUGGGGAGUAAGGAAUUGGAAGAUGCUUUGGGACUGGGGGGUGCAGGCGGGGCUGUGUGUUAAUUCAGUAAAUAUCCAAGAAGCCGCCAAGGCUGUCCCUGGCUGACCUUCAGGUCUAGAGGCGGGUGAACAGAAGAGCUAUCUAUCUAGGAUGCCUGGCUGAGGGCUGGCCAGGCCCCAGCUCACACAGCUCAUCUGCAAAGACUGGGUUUGCUUUUCCUUCUGUGACUCUAAUGGAGCAGAGCCAUUAUGGCCGCAUAAGGACGGGCACACAGGCUUUACAAAAAUUUACAAAAUUGAUCCUUUAAACCAUGGGUUGUGCAAACAAGCACCAGUAAGAACGACCAUUCACUGGUUGUGGGGGUGGGCUCCGAUUUCUAUAACUGUUGCUUAUGCUGUUGAAAAUGUCCGGUUUUCAACAACAAGAAUUAUGAAGAAUAUGAAGUAUGAGAAAGAAUAGCCUAUAACACGGGAAGAGGACAACUAAAACGAACUGUCCCUAAGGGAGCCUGUACACUGGUCUCACCAGAAAAGGCUAAAUAAACUAAAUGGAAUACGUUCAAGGAAUAGCCUGAGGUAAUGAUGCAUACCUGCAAUCCCAGCACUUGGGAAGCGGAGGCAAAGAGGACAGUCAUGAGUUUGAGGCUAGCCUGGGCUACAGAGUAAGUUCCAGGUUACAAUGAGAGAUCCUGUCUCAAACACAAAAAUGAACAAACAAAAAAGCUAAAGGAAGCCAUACCCAAAGACUGACCUAAAUGAUUACGAGAAUGUCUCUGUAAGAAGUAUGGAUGAGACAGAAGUCAUAAAAAGGAAGCAAGAGAAUACUGGAGUUGAACAGUGUGCUAGUAAGAUGAACAUUUGCACAACUGAGAAGGCCUCAGUGGCACAGGAUGAAAGCAAACCUCACGAAAUGGCCCCCUUUAGGCAUAGACAGGAAUCCCGAAAUCUGAGAGUCAGCUCUCUUAUAGGAUGCGACCCCCGAGGGCCCAUGAUCCAUGACGGCUACACCGUGUGCAUACAGGCAGUACUAAGUGGCAUGCUGGGACACGUGGAAAAAACAAGAGAAGAACACACAGAACUGAGGAGGAGGGAAUGGUGGUGGUGAGGAGAGAGGAGACAUCGGGGGACCAGGGGAUGGGAGGCAGACUUGAUAAAGACCUAUUAUUCAUGUGUAUGAAAUUCCCAAACAAUAAAAAUAGCUCUGUGUUUGAUGG
rnacentral:lncRNA from 1 species